GAUGAACGCUGGCGGCGUGCCUAAUACAUGCAAGUCGAGCGAACAGAUAAGGAGCUUGCUCCUUUGACGUUAGCGGCGGAUGGGUGAGUAACACGUGGAUAACCUACCUAUAAGACUGGGAUAACUUCGGGAAACCGGAGCUAAUACCGGAUAACAUAUUGAACCGCAUGGUUCAAUAGUGAAAGGCGGCUUUGCUGUCACUUAUAGAUGGAUCCGCGCCGUAUUAGCUAGUUGGUAAGGUAACGGCUUACCAAGGCAACGAUACGUAGCCGACCUGAGAGGGUGAUCGGCCACACUGGAACUGAGACACGGUCCAGACUCCUACGGGAGGCAGCAGUAGGGAAUCUUCCGCAAUGGGCGAAAGCCUGACGGAGCAACGCCGCGUGAGUGAUGAAGGUCUUCGGAUCGUAAAACUCUGUUAUCAGGGAAGAACAAAUGUGUAAGUAACUGUGCACAUCUUGACGGCACCUGAUCAGAAAGCCACGGCUAACUACGUG
rnacentral:rRNA from 1 species